rnacentral:lncRNA from 1 species
UCAAAAUAUUACAAAUUAAAUUAAUCAUUAUAAAUUACAUAGAAUUGUUAUGUGAAAAAAUAUUAAAGCAAAUUAUGAUUAAAACUGGAAAGAUAUGUUUAUUAUUUUUAAACAAUUUGCAGGAUAGAAAAGAUGCAUAGUAAUCAAUAGCAAAAUGAUAAUAUAUAUUCAAUAAUUUCUAUUUUUUUAACAGAGAAAUAUAUAAAUAUAUUUCUCUGUUGAAAAUUUGAAAAUUUUAUAAUAUAGUAUACAGACAAUCCCCAAUUUAUAUAGGUGAAUUGUUCAGUAAAACCAUAUGUAUGUCAGAGCAUAUGUUAUACAGACUAGGGUAUCACAAUGCUAUAACACUAAAAAUAGUUAUAGUAAAGAAUAAGCAUGUAAAUUAUGUGGUAAAACAGUCACUACCAACUUGGAGGAUCUGGAUUCAUUCCCGAGUCCUAUACCUUCAGUUUUUUUGGAUUGAUCCAGAUUUGGGAUCAACUUAUUAUUCAAAAAUAAAUUUAUGUAAGUAUGGAUCUACAUAAAUUGGAGAUUGCCUGUAAAAUGCAAGAUACUAUAAAUUUUAUAUUUUUUGAGAUUCUACUAUUUUGGAGUCCAUUGUAUUUGCAGU